rnacentral:lncRNA from 1 species
CUUGUUAAUGUUUGUUCCUACCCCAAAUAAAAUGUAUUGCAGUGUUCUUACAAAUGUUGUGUUGGUUUACAUCACUAUUAUUUGGCCUAUGCCCAUUCCAGAACAUAACUAAACUUUGCUUGGAAAACAGCCGGCAAAAACUUCACCUAAAAAAACAGCCUAAAAAAUUUGACAUAUAUUCAGAACGUUAUUUCUAAUUCUAACCCUGUUUAGCACGG